GGGGAAUAUUGCACAAUGGGGGAAACCCUGAUGCAGCGACGCCGCGUGAGUGAAGAAGUAUUUCGGUAUGUAAAGCUCUAUCAGCAGGGAAGAAGAAAGACGGUACCUGACUAAGAAGCCCCGGCUAACUACGUGCC
rnacentral:rRNA from 1 species